rnacentral:rRNA from 1 species
GGUUAAGCGACUAAGCGUACACGGUGGAUGCCCUGGCAGUCAGAGGCGAUGAAGGACGUGCUAAUCUGCGAUAAGCGUCGGUAAGGUGAUAUGAACCGUUAUAACCGGCGAUUUCCGAAUGGGGAAACCCAGUGUGAUUCGUCACACUAUCAUUAACUGAAUCCAUAGGUUAAUGAGGCGAACCGGGGGAACUGAAACAUCUAAGUACCCCGAGGAAAAGAAAUCAACCGAGAUUCCCCCAGUAGCGGCGAGCGAACGGGGAGCAGCCCAGAGCCUGAAUCAGUGUGUGUGUUAGUGGAAGCGUCUGGAAAGGCGCGCGAUACAGGGUGACAGCCCCGUACACAAAAAUGCACAUACUGUGAGCUCGAUGAGUAGGGCGGGACACGUGGUAUCCUGUCUGAAUAUGGGGGGACCAUCCUCCAAGGCUAAAUACUCCUGACUGACCGAUAGUGAACCAGUACCGUGAGGGAAAGGCGAAAAGAACCCCGGCGAGGGGAGUGAAAAAGAACCUGAAACCGUGUACGUACAAGCAGUGGGAGCCUCUUAAUGGGGUGACUGCGUACCUUUUGUAUAAUGGGUCAGCGACUUAUAUUCUGUAGCAAGGUUAACCGAAUAGGGGAGCCGAAGGGAAACCGAGUCUUAACUGGGCGUUAAGUUGCAGGGUAUAGACCCGAAACCCGGUGAUCUAGCCAUGGGCAGGUUGAAGGUUGGGUAACACUAACUGGAGGACCGAACCGACUAAUGUUGAAAAAUUAGCGGAUGACUUGUGGCUGGGGGUGAAAGGCCAAUCAAACCGGGAGAUAGCUGGUUCUCCCCGAAAGCUAUUUAGGUAGCGCCUCGUGAAUUCAUCUCCGGGGGUAGAGCACUGUUUCGGCAAGGGGGUCAUCCCGACUUACCAACCCGAUGCAAACUGCGAAUACCGGAGAAUGUUAUCACGGGAGACACACGGCGGGUGCUAACGUCCGUCGUGAAGAGGGAAACAACCCAGACCGCCAGCUAAGGUCCCAAAGUCAUGGUUAAGUGGGAAACGAUGUGGGAAGGCCCAGACAGCCAGGAUGUUGGCUUAGAAGCAGCCAUCAUUUAAAGAAAGCGUAAUAGCUCACUGGUCGAGUCGGCCUGCGCGGAAGAUGUAACGGGGCUAAACCAUGCACCGAAGCUGCGGCAGCGACACUAUGUGUUGUUGGGUAGGGGAGCGUUCUGUAAGCCUGCGAAGGUGUACUGUGAGGUAUGCUGGAGGUAUCAGAAGUGCGAAUGCUGACAUAAGUAACGAUAAAGCGGGUGAAAAGCCCGCUCGCCGGAAGACCAAGGGUUCCUGUCCAACGUUAAUCGGGGCAGGGUGAGUCGACCCCUAAGGCGAGGCCGAAAGGCGUAGUCGAUGGGAAACAGGUUAAUAUUCCUGUACUUGGUGUUACUGCGAAGGGGGACGGAGAAGGCUAUGUUGGCCGGGCGACGGUUGUCCCGGUUUAAGCGUGUAGGCUGGUUUUCCAGGCAAAUCCGGAAAAUCAAGGCUGAGGCGUGAUGACGAGGCACUACGGUGCUGAAGCAACAAAUGCCCUGCUUCCAGGAAAAGCCUCUAAGCAUCAGGUAACAUCAAAUCGUACCCCAAACCGACACAGGUGGUCAGGUAGAGAAUACCAAGGCGCUUGAGAGAACUCGGGUGAAGGAACUAGGCAAAAUGGUGCCGUAACUUCGGGAGAAGGCACGCUGAUAUGUAGGUGAAGUCCCUCGCGGAUGGAGCUGAAAUCAGUCGAAGAUACCAGCUGGCUGCAACUGUUUAUUAAAAACACAGCACUGUGCAAACACGAAAGUGGACGUAUACGGUGUGACGCCUGCCCGGUGCCGGAAGGUUAAUUGAUGGGGUUAGCGCAAGCGAAGCUCUUGAUCGAAGCCCCGGUAAACGGCGGCCGUAACUAUAACGGUCCUAAGGUAGCGAAAUUCCUUGUCGGGUAAGUUCCGACCUGCACGAAUGGCGUAAUGAUGGCCGGGCUGUCUCCACCCGAGACUCAGUGAAAUUGAACUCGCUGUGAAGAUGCAGUGUACCCGCGGCAAGACGGAAAGACCCCGUGAACCUUUACUAUAGCUUGACACUGAACAUUGAGCCUUGAUGUGUAGGAUAGGUGGGAGGCUUUGAAGUGUGGACGCCAGUCUGCAUGGAGCCGACCUUGAAAUACCACCCUUUAAUGUUUGAUGUUCUAACGUUGGCCCCUGAUCGGGGUUGCGGACAGUGUCUGGUGGGUAGUUUGACUGGGGCGGUCUCCUCCUAAAGAGUAACGGAGGAGCACGAAGGUUGGCUAAUCCUGGUCGGACAUCAGGAGGUUAGUGCAAUGGCAUAAGCCAGCUUGACUGCGAGCGUGACGGCGCGAGCAGGUGCGAAAGCAGGUCAUAGUGAUCCGGUGGUUCUGAAUGGAAGGGCCAUCGCUCAACGGAUAAAAGGUACUCCGGGGAUAACAGGCUGAUACCGCCCAAGAGUUCAUAUCGACGGCGGUGUUUGGCACCUCGAUGUCGGCUCAUCACAUCCUGGGGCUGAAGUAGGUCCCAAGGGUAUGGCUGUUCGCCAUUUAAAGUGGUACGCGAGCUGGGUUUAGAACGUCGUGAGACAGUUCGGUCCCUAUCUGCCGUGGGCGCUGGAGAACUGAGGGGGCUGCUCCUAGUACGAGAGGACCGGAGUGGACGCAUCACUGGUGUUCGGGUUGUCAUGCCAAUGGCACUGCCCGGUAGCUAAAUGCGGAAGAGAUAAGUGCUGAAAGCAUCUAAGCACGAAACUUGCCCCGAGAUGAGUUCUCCCUGACUCCCUGAGAGUCCUGAAGGAACGUUGAAGACGACGACGUUGAUAGGCCGGGUGUGUAAGCGCAGCGAUGCGUUGAGCUAACCGGUACUAAUGAACCGUGAGGCUUAACCUU